UGUAAUGAUGAAUUAAUAGACUAGAGUCUCUGAUGUACAACAUGAAGCUCUUUCACAGUGCACUGAACA